rnacentral:tRNA from 1 species
GGGGGUAUAGCUCAGUGUGGUAGAGCAUUCGACUGCAGAUCGAGAAGUUCUCGGUUCAAACCUGGGAGCCCUCU